rnacentral:lncRNA from 10 species
CAAUAGUCAAAGGACUGACAUUUUUAAUGUGCUCGGAGAAGACAAACUAUAUGUAGAGUUUUAUGUGUAACAAAAGAUAGUAUUCUUCAGACACAAAGAUAAUUAUUUUCUACCCUAGGAUCUGGAGAGAAGGAGUAGCUUCUCUCCAAUCCUUAGAAGAAAUCCACAGUUAAUUGUUGACAUUUCUUUCAAAUUUUUCAUAGAUUUGAAAAACCUAUGGAAAGAGAGAAAACAACUGGCCCAAAAUCUAAGGAUAGAAAGUAUCUCCAGGGAGAAAGGAGAUUUGCACCCAUGAUCAUCUGAAGGUAGAUACAGGUCUGAGCAGACAGACAGAAGCCAGCACAACUGCAGGAGAAAUGAAAUGAGGUUCUAAGCCACCUUACAGCUUAUAUUGGCCCCACCAGUCUUUUUGUUCAUUGGUUACGUGAGUCAAAUUUAUAUCCCUAAAUCCGGAAUAUGCUGCCUCCAGAAUCCAAAGAAGCCUGAGAAGCAUGGUGAUUCCUUCUUAGUGGUGGAAAGAAUGAGUUAUACACAAGAUGAAUGGAUUAACCACUGGAAGACCUGCACUACUACAAAUGUUAAAGAAAGUCCUUCCAAGAAAGAAAAAAGGCAACUUAAUGGAAACUUGUGUCUACCAAAUGGAAAGAAGAGCAAUGGGAAUCCUAACUACUCCUGUUCCUGUUUUCUAUUUGACUUCUUGGAGCAGUACACCUUAUGAUGGAUUGCAAGAAAGUGCAGCACUCUGGGUAUGUUUUCUAUGUCCUUUUAUUUGUUUUUAAGAAUGACCCCAAACUGAGCCAUGAUAGAGCUGUGAGCGUGGAGGGCCCCCGAUGGCAUAAACUCAAAAAGCUAUUGGCCAUGGAAAUCACCAGCCUACUUCAGCCUAAGUUGAAUUAAAGAAAUCCAUAUGUCAUACUUUGGAAACAUCUAGGACUCUCCCUUGGAUCUGUAAGAAGCCCUUCCCCAAGAGAGAGCACAGCAAACUCUCUACCUGCCGUCAGUCAGUCAAGAAUUUACACCUGCAGCCAUUUGGCCUGUUAAGGAACAAACUUCCAUGGACUUUUGCAAAGUUCUGCCUUUUCCAUGAGCCGAUAGAAUUUCUAACAACCAUAUCAUCUACAACGCUGACCUGUGUGAACUCAGGGAAGAGUUUCUGUAUGCAAAUGAGUGGAACGAGCAGUACUUACGAAUAUGAAUGAGAAUGUGGAUUCCGUUAGAGAAUGCACUGGACACAUGGAUCAACUGGAAAUUUCAUUUCUCUAAGAAAGGCACCCUACCAGCAGCACACAGACUGUCCCAGUUCCAGACUGUCUCCAUUCUUUUUACCUGUGAAGAUUCCUCCAUAUUGGAACUGUUUUAUUGUGUCUUUUCUUUUGCAUUGUAACUAGUCAAAUCCUAAGUGACUGGCACUUUGAGGUAGCAAUUAUAUCACUGAGUAAUAUACACCAAUAAAGCAAGAAUUGUACAUUGU